ACGUUCAACAACCUAGACGCUCUCUUCAGUGUACUUCAACAAAAUCAUAUUUUGUGAAUGAAGCUUCGUCGAAGCUAUGCACUCAAAGUGAGGAUUUCACUCGAUAAAAGUUGAAAAUAUCGUUCCCCAUGGCUACACCAAAAAAUUGUUGCAGUCGUCCAAUGAGGGGGCGAAGGUUGACCAUGUGAUAAAGCUCUGGGUUUUGUAGCUGGCGAGACCGAGUUGGAGUGCGUGUUUUUGUUUGUUUUUACAGCAAAGCCACAUCGGGCUAUCUGCUGUGGCGAGACGUGUUGGAGUGUGUGUUUUUCUUAUAGCAAAGCCACAUCGGGCUAUCUGCUGUGUCUACCGAGGGGAAUCGAGCCCUUGAUUUUAGAGUUGUAAAUCCGAAGACUUACCGCUAUCUCACCGGGGGAUGAGAGGAGUUGGAAUCCGUGCGUUAUAAGAGUAACAGACAAUCACUUAGUAUGGUUGAUGGGAGGAGCAAACAUACAUUUGAGAAAGUUUUCGAAUCAAUCCCUAUGUUAGAUCAUCAAUAAUGGAAUUACUGAAUACUUGGAAGCGCGUGUGGCGCUGCUAUUAUACCAUAAUGAUAUAGAAGACUCUGAUUGGUUACUCUCUGUGUGGCAGAAGCUGACUUACAGAUACCCAGCAGAGCGGCUUAGCUACACUGCAAGACUCCCACUCUUUGGAUGUGUGGACCGACGAAGUAAUGAAACGUUUCCCUCUGCUCUGACCGUAAAGCAAGGCUAAGAUAUUCCGAAAUCGUAUGUAUCCAAAUGUUGUGUUUGAUAAAAUUCCACAAAAUCCGGUGAGGUGAGAUAGAGAAUCAUCGCCAAGUGGAGUUGUAGGUUCUUUCCCCCAAAACUUGA